GGGUUUGUGGUCUAGUGGUAUGAUUCCUCCUUCGGGUGGAGGAGGUCCUGGGUUCUUUUCCACAUUCAAUUAG